rnacentral:lncRNA from 13 species
ACUUCCAGAGGUUGUCCUUUCGUGAUACUGGCGAGUCCUCCUUCCAGACUCGCUUGAAACGCGCUCGUCAUUACCGAGUCGUGCGGUCCCGCCUUCGAGAGUAUCGCCAGAUGGUCUUUCUUGAGAGCAGGGACCAGUAAUCGUGAGCGAUCAAGAAGAACGCGAGAAUCAUUGAAUAAAAUCCAACGUACUUGACGCUGUAAAGAAAUGCCUUAAUCAUAAUCGAAAAUAAGAGGAAAAUAAAGAAAAAGAUUUCCAAAUAUACGAGUGAAGAUCAAACAUGAGAGGUACGCGCGUAAACGGCAUAGCGCAGUCGCGUAAUCUUUCGCAAAAUGCGCAUGAAUGUUCUAAUUCGAGAG